UACGUAGGGUGCGAGCGUUAAUCGGAAUUACUGGGCGUAAAGCGUGCGCAGGCGGUGAUGUAAGACAGAUGUGAAAUCCCCGGGCUCAACCUGGGACCUGCAUUUGUGACUGCAUCGCUGGAGUACGGCAGAGGGGGAUGGAAUUCCGCGUGUAGCAGUGAAAUGCGUAGAUAUGCGGAGGAACACCGAUGGCGAAGGCAAUCCCCUGGGCCUGUACUGACGCUCAUGCACGAAAGCGUGGGGAGCAAACAGG
rnacentral:rRNA from 1 species